AAGAGCUCCUAUGGGAAAGAGGAAUGAAGUAGAAUGGCUGAGUAAUUUAAUGAAAGGAGAGAUUUCCAUUGCAGAUAUAUAUAGAACUUUCUUGGGUGGUAGUGUAUCCCACAUUUGAAUGGAAAGGAAUAAACGUGUUUUUAAUGGCACACAAAGACGAUCUGAAGUUUAGUUAGACAAGUUAUCCAAGAGGUGUUUCAAAAGAGUAAUAACGAUAGGAAAUGACUCCAUUGUUAGAAACUAUGAUCUUGUAU
rnacentral:misc_RNA from 1 species